AAACUUAAAGGAAUUGACGGGGCCGCACAAGCGGUGGAGCAUGUGGUUUAAUUCGAUGAUACGCGAGGAACCUUACCUGGGCUCAAAUGUAUGUUGACGUAUUCUGAAAGGGAUACUUCUUCGGACAAUAUACAAGGUGCUGCAUGGUUGUCGUCAGCUCGUGCCGUGAGGUGUCGGGUUAAGUCCCAUAACGAGCGCAACCCCUAUCAUUAGUUGCCAGCAGUUCGGCUGGGCACUCUAAUGAAACUGCCUACGCAAGUAGUGAGGAAGGUGGGGAUGACGUCAAAUCAGCACGGCCCUUACGUCCAGGGCUACACACGUGCUACAAUGGCCGGUACAAAGGGCAGCUACCUGGUGACAGGAUGCUAAUCUCAAAAGCCGGUCUCAGUUCGGAUCGGAGUCUGCAACCCGACUGCGUGAAGUCGGAAUCGCUAGUAAUCGUGAAUCAGAAUGUCACGGUGAAUACGUUCCCGGGCCUU
rnacentral:rRNA from 1 species